ensembl:misc_RNA Y_RNA Y RNA
GGCUUGUCCAACUGCAGUGGUGUUUACAACUAAUUGAUCAGUUAGAGAUUUCCUUGUUCCUUCUUCACUCCUAUUCCUUCACUUGACUAGCCUUAA